GAUGAACGCUAGCUACAGGCUUAACACAUGCAAGUCGAGGGGAAACGAUAGAGAAAGCUUGCUUUUUCUAGGCGUCGACCGGCGCACGGGUGAGUAACGCGUAUCCAACCUGCCCAUCACUUGGGGAUAACCUUGCGAAAGUAAGACUAAUACCCAAUGACGUCUCUAGAAGACAUCUGAAAGAGAUUAAAGAUUUAUCGGUGAUGGAUGGGGAUGCGUCUGAUUAGCUUGUUGGCGGGGUAACGGCCCACCAAGGCGACGAUCAGUAGGGGUUCUGAGAGGAAGGUCCCCCACAUUGGAACUGAGACACGGUCCAAACUCCUACGGGAGGCAGCAGUGAGGAAUAUUGGUCAAUGGACGAGAGUCUGAACCAGCCAAGUAGCGUGCAGGAUGACGGCCCUAUGGGUUGUAAAACUGCUUUUAUAAGGGAAUAAAGUGGGAGUCGUGACUCUUUUUGCAUGUACCUUAUGAAUAAGGACCGGCUAAUUCCGUG
rnacentral:rRNA from 1 species